GAUAUGAUGUAGAAAUAUAGCUAGAGAGAGAGAGAUGCGAUAGAUAGAUAUGAUAUAGAUAUGAAAUAGAUAGAAUACAGUAAUAUGGUGCCAUUGUGGAAUUUUACUUUCAUGCACCUCUGAAUCCACCUUCUCCUCCAGAUAGAGAACAGUAACUUUAUCCAUUCAUCCGUGUAUACAAGUUCAGGAAGUGACCAAAACACACACAGAACACGGUGCACAUUAUGUCCAUGAAUAUCGCAGAUUGUGUGUGGUUUUCAGCUAGCAUGGAUUCCCUACAUGGAGAAUGGAUAUAAUGGCCCCUUCCAUGAACAGAUAAACCUCUGAUGAUCAUAUGUGAUCCCUACUGAAUUUAUUUCAGUUGAACAGAAUGUUUGUAGACGUAACAGAAGCCAUUGAUUGCAUCAAUUCCCUAUAGUUAGACGACAGCACUGAGAAUCCAGCAAAGAGGUAUCUGCCCUUUACUGAGGUAAAAAUACAUCUGAAAUGUGCUACGUUGUCCAGAGUUUGCCCCGUGUGCAAUGUGUGAGGUGCCAGGAAUUUCCGAGGGGACAGCAGUGAGAUUAAUCUAUGCAGCUAUUUCUGAUGGGAUCCGGACCUCUCCGUAUUGUCUCUGAUCAUCUCAUCACAGGAUUUUCAACAAACCUGCAUAUUGUACCUGUAUUAUGGAAGUAACAACUGGAACCUCCCACUCCAUCCAUGAUUCUACUGAACCACAUUUACAUCACCACAGAUCCCUAUGUUUAUAUAUAUUUAGUUCAAUUGAACUAUUGCGUAUCCAAGUGUAACAUGCAUUUCAAAAACAGAGCCACCCCUGGUUGUGUGUGGUAUUACAACUUGGCUCCAUUCACUUCAAUGGAACUGAGGUGCAGUACCACGCAUAACCUGAGGACACGAGUGGUCCUGUUUCUGAAAGAAACAAUAUAUUUUUUCUAAUGAUGGAGAACCCCUUUAAGUUCCCUGGAAGGCCAGACAAUCAAACAAAUUUUACAAAACUUUAGGGAACCUCUUCAAAAUUAUGCAAUCUCCCCCCCCCCCUCUCUAUGAGAAAGGAUACGGACUGGACACUAUUUGUCUGACAACCAUUGUCAAUGUAAGGUUGUCCUGAAGCUGCCUAUGGCUCUCCGGGCAAACUGGGAGUUGUAGUUUUACAACACUGGUCUAUGGCCAUGGCUAUGGAAUCUCAAAGGGGUU